AAAGGAAUUGACGGGGACCCGCACAAGCGGUGGAGCAUGUGGUUUAAUUCGAAGCAACGCGAAGAACCUUACCAAAUCUUGACAUCCUUAUGACCGGCACGUAAAAGUGCCCUCUCUUCGGAGCAUAAGUGACAGGUGGUGCAUGGUUGUCGUCAGCUCGUGUCGUGAGAUGUUGGGUUAAGUCCCUCAACGAGCGCAACCCUUAUCUUUAGUAGCCAGCAGUUCGGCUGGGCACUCUAGAGAGACUGCCGGGGAUAACCUGGAGGAAGGUGGGGAUGACGUCAAAUCAUCAUGCCCCUUAUGAUUUGGGCUACACACGUGCUACAAUGGCGUAAACAAAGGGAAGCUACCCUGUGAAGGUAAGCAAACCCCAAAAAUAACGUCUCAGUUCGGAUUGUAGUCUGCAACUCGACUACAUGAAGCUGGAAUCGCUAGUAAUCGUGAAUCAGAAUGUCACGGUGAAUACGUUCCCGGGUCUUGCACACACCGCCCGU
rnacentral:rRNA from 1 species